CUCAGUGCUCAUCUUAAAACCUGUCGAGACCUGUCAGAGAGAGACAUCGUGACAGUGUAAUACUGCAUCCUGUUGGCAUUUGAUUUGUUUAAGGUACCUCCUCCAAUGAGAUCCAUUUCAUUUGCAGAUUGCCUCAAUAAAGAUAGGGAAAGUUAAAAGUGCAAUAUCCACACGCAAUCUCCACCCACUCACUUCUCCCACAGUUAUAACCUGGGACACUGCAUUGCAUGGAUUUAUUGGACAGAAGAACCUCCAGAGGCUGUGAGCUUACAGAUAACUCACUGGCAAAAUGCUUCUGUUGUUUCUGUCUCUGGUUUUGGGAACUCCACAAGGACAAGGGGUUACAGUAACGUGUGACAAUAUAUCGGUUUCAAAAGACCAGCAACUGACACUGUGCUGUACAGUGGAUUACACUGCCAUACAAACUAUCAAACAUGGGACGAAGGGGACCACAAAUGACACAACAUGUGUUACUGAGUGGUUUGCAUGGAAGUAUUCAGAUAAUGUACUACUGAAUUGUAUUAAAGACUGUCACAUGAAAGAAACGGAAGCACCACACUGCUAUUAUAAGAAAGAAAAUGUUACAAAAGCUGAUGAGGGUAAUUACACUUUUUCCAUUGGCACAAACUGUGGGUUUGGUUCAGGGACAACAAGCUUUUUCACUGUUGCAGUUCCUGGUGAGUACAAUGCUAAAGCACAAAGCACUACAUCAACUACUCCUGUGUCAAUUCACUGUCCGGUAAAGAUAUGCUAUGCUUUACUGGACAGUGACCAGUCUAUAUUGACUAGGGUUAAAUGGGCCCUGAGUUUUUCCCGAUCAUGUGAUAUGACCAGGAAAAGCUUUAGUAAUUAUUAAAUGUGAUAAUACAAUAUUCCUAUAUAAAUUCAAUAUAGGGCUUUGUACUGUGACGUUUGUGAGUAUUCCGUGUGUUCACAGCAAACUUAUCUUUAUUUUCUCAGCGAAAAGUGUUGACAACUGGAGAGAGCAACAAGCUCCUGUAUGGUUAACUCUGGUUGUUAUCAUCAGCGUCAUCGCUGUUCUGGGCGUUCUAUUGUUUCUAAAAACUUAUCGUUCUGGCAGAAGAUUGAUGAAACGACUCAAGAGUUCUAUGACCCAGAGCAACAACAACACUGAUGAGAGCCCUGAAGGUUCAAGAGAGGCCGUUACCCUGGUGCCUGCAUAACAUUCAGCGUGAGCCAGUUGUCUUGUUGGUUAUUUCGAAAUGAACUCCACGUUGACCUCUGCUAUGUUGCUGUAUGUCAGAUGCAUUCUAUACCAAUAAAACACUACUCACUUUUGCACCUAAAUUAGUUUUGCACCAACAUUUGUGGAAUCAGUUAGUGAAAUCACUAAUAAUCGUCUUUCACAGAAAAAAAGGGUGCUAAAAAGGGUGCUAUCUAGAACCAUCCCCAUAGGAGAACCCUUUGAAUAACUCUGGUUCCAGGUAGAACCCUUUUCAUAACCCUUAAGCUUGUUUACAAAGGGAGUUGGUUUUGGUCUAUAUAUACAUUGAUGUUGUAAUAUUCUGUAAUAUUCUCACAAGCAUUGUUUUCAUAACUACUAAGCUAAACUUGUUUUUAGUUUUAGCCUAAACUCUGACGUAAUUUUCUGGGACUCAUGUUUUUUUAAAUUAAUAUAAAAUGUUAUUGAUUUGUGUACAAAUAAACGUUUGGAAAUAACCAGUCUUCAUAAUGUUAUUUCUCUCAUAUAGAGCUUGUUGUCUUGUGCCGAAUUAUUAUCUCCAACAAUAAUGUACAUUUCAGUUAUCACAGCACAUAGAGUACCCGUCAGCAGAAAAUAACCACAACACUUCCUGUGAACAAGUCAACAGAGGAAACUCUUUCUCUAUCCAUUUAUUCAGUUGUUCACCAUUUUACCCUGCCAAAAGACAGUUCACCAGUCAGUUGUGAGUGUUUUGCGCGUGCGGAAGAGUGUGUGGAGCUCUCUGAUAAAUGCA
rnacentral:lncRNA from 1 species